rnacentral:rRNA from 1 species
GACGAACGCUGGCGGCGUGCUUAACACAUGCAAGUCGAACGAAGUGGCGAACGGGUGAGUAACGCGUAAUCAACCUGCCCUUCAGAGGGGGACAACGGUUGGAAACGACGGCUAAUACCGCAUACUGCAGGAGGGGACUGCGUCUGAUUAGCUAGUUGGGGGGGUAACGGCCCACCAAGGCGAUGAUCAGUAGCCGGCCUGAGAGGAUGAACGGCCACAUUGGGACUGAGACACGGCCCAGACUCCUACGGGAGGCAGCAGUGGGGAAUCUUCCGCAAUGGACGAAAGUCUGACGGAGCAACGCCGCGUGAGUGAUGACGGCCUUCGGGUUGUAAAGCUCUGUUAAUCGGGACGCGGUACCGGAAUAGAAAGCCACGGCUAACUACGUGCCAGCAGCCGCGGUAAUUC